AGGAUCCAAAACUUGUCUGCAGCCACAAGCCGAUAUCAGCCUACUGUCUUGGCUUUAAGACUUAUUGGUAUUUUGACCAGAACAAGAACAACUGCUAUCACUUCAAGGACUGGUGGUGUGGAAAAAAUGCAAACGGAUUUAUAUCUUACAGGGUCUGCAUGGAGAGGUGCAGCUAUACACGAGUACCAUGGAAAUGUCAACAAUGCAAAGAAAAAGCGCCGCAGCCACCGGACCAGAAGAAACAAGAAGUAAAAGGGCGCAAAUAAAAGCAACCUGUUCACGCUCAAGGAAAUUUUCAAUUGAUAAAAAAAAUUAAAUUCGCUCUAGACAGUGUAAGUCCUCUAAUAUAUCGAAAUUUGGUAAUGGAACAACACGCCAGUGUAGGAUAUGGCAGUAACUACGGCUUAGGCACGCUUUAUGGAAAGACAAAGCGCGAACACCAGCAAGAACAUGAAAAAAUAAAAUUUGAUCGCUACGUUCUCUAUAAUAAUAAAUAAUAGUAAAGCUUG